rnacentral:rRNA from 1 species
UACGGAGGAUCCGAGCGUUAUCCGGAUUUAUUGGGUUUAAAGGGUGCGUAGGCGGUUUGAUAAGUUAGAGGUGAAAUGUCGGGGCUCAACCCCGAAACUGCCUCUAAUACUGUUGGACUAGAGAAUAGUUGCGGUAGGCGGAAUGUAUGGUGUAGCGGUGAAAUGCUUAGAGAUCAUACAGAACACCGAUUGCGAAGGCAGCUUACCAAACUACAUCUGACGUUGAGGCACGAAAGCGUGGGUAGCAAACAGG